AUCUGUGAAAAAGAGCUUUAUAGCUCAUCGGAUUCCUCCAGUAUCAAUAAUCAUUCUGAUUCUGAAAUUGUCACGUCGUGGGCAUAAUAUAAUAAUAAUAAUUUACAUUUGUAAGGCGCAUUUCAUCUGAGGAUCUCAAUGCACCGUGUAGGAAACAAGACAGAGCCAGUGGUAAUCGACCACAACUAUGGGUAAGAGGCCUUUUUCUAGAGGGGAGUUUUCAGGCCAAGAUUUAAUAGCUCUAAAGAUUCUCAUCGUCUUAUUGUCAGAGGCCAACUCGUUACAUAAGUCUUGGAGCUGCACUGGUCAAAAAUCCCCGAUCACCGCCAGAAACGGAGGCCUUGACCUUGGGGCGCUAAGGGGAAGAAGAAGAUCUGAGUGUAUUUGAUUUCUCAGCAAAAAGUAGAAAUCAAGUUUAGAAAAAAGUGACAAUGUUUCGUGUCGUUAUAAAUGACGUUUCGCUGGCGAUUACAGCCAGCGCCAUCAGCUCUCCUCGCGCGAAGGCGCUUUCUUGAUCCGGGUCCUUGAGUAAGUGCCUGUGACGUCACCAGGGCAGCCGUGGCCAGGUGACCGCUUUAAUAAUCCGUUGCUAGGUGACGGCUUUAAUAAUCCGUGGCAAGGUGACCGCUUUAAUAAUCCAUGGCCAGGUGACGGCUUUAAUAAUCCAUGGCAAGGUGACCGCUUUAAUAAUCCGUGGCCAGGUGACCGCUUUAAUAAUCCGUGACCAGGUGACCGCUUUAAUAAUCCGUGGCCAGGUGACGGCUUUAAUAAUCCGUGGCCAGGUGACCGCUUUAAUAAUCCAUGGCCAGGUGACCGAUUUAAUAAUCCGUGGCCAGGUGACCGCUUUAAUAAUCCGUGGCCAGGUGACCGCUUUAAUAAUCCGUGGCAAGGUGACCGAUUUAAUAAUCCGUGGCAAGGUCACCGAUUUAAUAAUCCGUGGCCAGGUGACGGCUUUAAUAAUCCGUGGCCAGGUGACCGCUUUAAUAAUCCGUGGCCAGGUGACCACUUUAAUAAUCCGUGGCAAGGUGACCGCUUUAAUAAUCCGUGGCCAGGUGACGGCUUUAAUAAUCCGUGGCAAGGUGACCGCUUUAAUAAUCCGUGGCCAGGUGACUGCAUUCAUAAUCCGUGGCCAGGUGACGGCUUUAAUAAUCCGUGGCCAGGUGACCGCUUUAAUAAUCCGUGGCCAGGUGACCACUUUAAUAAUCCGUGGCCAGGUGACCCCUUUAAUAAUCCGUGGCCAGGUGACGGCUUUAAUAAUCCGUGGUCAGGUGACCACUUUAAUAAUCCGUGGCCAGGUGACUGCAUUCAUAAUCCGUGGCCAGGUGACGGCUUUAAUAAUCCGUGGCCAGGUGACCGCUUUAAUAAUCCGUGGCCAGGUGACCGCUUUAAUAAUCCGUGGCAAGGUGACCGAUUUA